GCCAGGGGUCUGCUACCAUGCAGUCGAGCGGUAGCACAGAGAGCUUGCUCUCGGGUGACGAGCGGCGGACGGGUGAGUAAUGUCUGGGAAACUGCCUGAUGGAGGGGGAUAACUACUGGAAACGGUAGCUAAUACCGCAUAACGUCGCAAGACCAAAGUGGGGGACCUUCGGGCCUCAUGCCAUCAGAUGUGCCCAGAUGGGAUUAGCUAGUAGGUGGGGUAACGGCUCACCUAGGCGACGAUCCCUAGCUGGUCUGAGAGGAUGACCAGCCACACUGGAACUGAGACACGGUCCAGACUCCUACGGGAGGCAGCAGUGGGGAAUAUUGCACAAUGGGCGCAAGCCUGAUGCAGCCAUGCCGCGUGUAUGAAGAAGGCCUUCGGGUUGUAAAGUACUUUCAGCGGGGAGGAAGGCGAUAAGGUUAAUAACCUUGUCGAUUGACGUUACCCGCAGAAGAAGCACCGGCUAACUCCGUGCCAGCAGCCGCGGUAAUACGGAGGGUGCAAGCGUUAAUCGGAAUUACUGGGCGUAAAGCGCACGCAGGCGGUCUGUCAAGUCGGAUGUGAAAUCCCCGGGCUCAACCUGGGAACUGCAUUCGAAACUGGCAGGCUAGAGUCUUGUAGAGGGGGGUAGAAUUCCAGGUGUAGCGGUGAAAUGCGUAGAGAUCUGGAGGAAUACCGGUGGCGAAGGCGGCCCCCUGGACAAAGACUGACGCUCAGGUGCGAAAGCGUGGGGAGCAAACAGGAUUAGAUACCCUGGUAGUCCACGCCGUAAACGAUGUCGAUUUGGAGGUUGUGCCCUUGAGGCGUGGCUUCCGGAGCUAACGCGUUAAAUCGACCGCCUGGGGAGUACGGCCGCAAGGUUAAAACUCAAAUGAAUUGACGGGGGCCCGCACAAGCGGUGGAGCAUGUGGUUUAAUUCGAUGCAACGCGAAGAACCUUACCUGGUCUUGACAUCCACAGAACUUGCCAGAGAUGCCUUGGUGCCUUCGGAACUGUGAGACAGUGCUGCAUGGCUGUCGUCAGCUCGUGUUGUGAAAUGUUGGGUUAAGUCCCGCACGAGCGCACCCUAUCUUUGUGCAGCGGUAGCGGGACUCAAAGAGACUGCAGUGAUAACUGAGAAGGUGGGGAUGACGUCCAGUCAUCAUGCCCUACGACAGGCUACACACGGUGCUACAAUGGGCCUUAUC
rnacentral:rRNA from 1 species